CACGUAGGGUGCGAGCGUUGUCCGGAAUUAUUGGGCGUAAAGAGCUCGUAGGCGGUGUGUCACGUCGGCCGUGAAAACCUGCAGCUUAACUGUGGGCGUGCGGUCGAUACGGGCAUCACUGGAGUUCGGCAGGGGAGACUGGAAUUCCUGGUGUAGCGGUGAAAUGCGCAGAUAUCAGGAGGAACACCGGUGGCGAAGGCGGGUCUCUGGGCCGGAACUGACGCUGAGGAGCGAAAGCGUGGGGAGCGAACAGG
rnacentral:rRNA from 1 species